rnacentral:lncRNA from 1 species
AAAAUUCAACAAAAUCUCAGCUAAAUUCGCACAAUCAAGCUCAAAUUUCAACUGCAGCUGCACGCAGUGUUCAAAAAAGCGAUCGCUUCCUCGCUUAAAGCGAGAAGCAAAGCGAAGCGAAGGGUCUGUCACUACCUGUACCAAAAGCGACUCAGGUACAUAAAAGCGAUCGCUUCUACCAAAAAAGCGUUCGCUUAGAAGCGGGAAAAGUGGAAGAAGAGGAAGAAGCGAUCGCUUCUUGGAAUAAACUGCCCAAACGUGUCUUUUUCAAUUAAAAGAUCCAAAAUCGAGUGCUGUUUUAUCAUUCUUCAGCAGCAACCUAGGGCUUUAAAUCAGCCCUUUCUUCCUAUAAAAACCAACGAUUUCAAGAUACAACAGGUAUGUUUUUAUUUUCAAUCUUCUUCUUCUUCUUCUUCUUUUUCUUUUUAUUUCUAAACGUCCAAAAAGAGUCGAAAUGCUGGUGAAUUUUUUCCAGAAAAUUUCUGCCCAGAAAUUUUUUCCCUAGUUGACGAAGAAGAUAGUUGAAGAAGAUGGCGGGCAAUACAAUAAUGAUAGUGGAAUACAAGAAUUUAACAAUCUUGAAGAAAAUAGGAUGCUCAUUUUGUGCUUUAAUUGAUGCUACUCUUUAGUUUUUUAAUUCAAGUAUUGAACAUUUGCUUACAAUUACAUGUAUUAUCUAUGCCAUAUUUAUUUUAAUUAUUAAAAAAAUUCCGCUUCACUUCAAAAAAGCGGGCGCUUUGCAAAUCCAUUUGUUUUGCUCUCCAGAUUUUUCAGGUUCAACAACGGUGGAUUCAAAAUUCUUUCUCCAUUUUCGAAUCUCAGCAGCAACUGAGGAUCUAGAAUGAGUUUAGCACUUAAUUCUCAACUUCAAAACUUCAACAACCUCCGGAUCUGCUCAGCACCUCCAAUUCUUU